UGGGGGUCCCUGGGUGUGGUGAGGGUGGGUCAGCUGCACUUUCGUUGAUGCGGGUUGUCAUCCCUUGACGGUGGCCUUGGGCUGUGGGUCCAAAGUUGCUUGGUCUCCCAGGCAGUGUCUGACCUGGGAUGGGAGCCUGGGGGCUGCUGCCCCAUCCCACAUCCAUCCCCACAGCCCCUGCUCCAGCAGUGUCCCCAUGGACAGCCUUGCUUAUGGAGUGGCCGCUCUGUGUUUUCUUCAGAAAAAGGAAAAAAAGUUCCCUUUCUUUACUGCUUAGCUCAUUCUUAAACAUUUAUAUUAGGGGGGUUUGCGGGGAGGGGAAAUAAUUGUGUAAUGUCUUAGGAGCAGGGGAGCAUUCCAAAAGCAUGACUGCGGGGCCUUUUCCAGCACUAGCACUCUGGCAGCCACGUCUCUCAGUGGCCGCCAACCUCCCUAAACCCAGCCCCAGCCUUCCCACCCCUCCGGGAGAACGGGACUGUGAUCCCUGGCUUGCAUCUGUGUGGAGUGGGCUGCGAGCAGGGGCUUGGCUGAGCCCCCUCAAGCUAAUAUCCCUGGGAAAGUGUUCCAGUUGGGAAACUGGACACUAGAGGCAGUGGUGUGGCUGGCUGCGUAUCAUGGGGACUAGUUGCGUUUUGUUUCUAUUUUGCCAAGUGCUUUUGGUGUCCAAACAGUUUCAGUUUAUGUCCAGCUCCUCCUCCUCAGCUCAGGUAGACACUGCAUGAGAUUUUAUGGACUUCUGCUUGAAUCCAGGUUCCUGACAGCUACAGCUUCUCCAGGGAAAUAUGUAAGUGAAAAUAAGCCAAGUCACUAUCUUGCUACAGGUUAUCAGGAACCUUUAACCAGGGUUACCUUCCGACUUGCUGUUUGCACUGGAGAGGCGCACUGACAUGAAAAGUAAGGAUUUGUAUUAGCAAAUAGUGAUCGGCGCUGGGGCAGGCAGGCGUUGCACAAGUACAGGCAUCUGCUGAUAUUGUGGCAUGUUGUUGGGAGCUUUCAACAAGACAUUUGCGCUACCGUGAGGCUGGGAAGGCUGUCACUACUGCAGGAGGUAAAAUAAGAACAUGGUAUGAUGUCCUUUGGAAAAGGAGGUAAGGGCAGGCAGCUUUUCCCACACUGCUCAAACACUUGUGGUUUGACCUUUGUUUAGGCUUUCAAAUUCUUCUGUUCCAAGUCCCUUUCUCUGUUUUGCUUGUGGAUGUUUUCUGGGGGAUUUAGCAAUGAAAACGAUCCACCCCGGACACUUUGCUCCAGGUCUAGGUCUGGGAAGUUGCCCUUUUCCACUGGAGUGUGUGUUAAGCCCAGCCUGCCUGGUUGUGCACAAAUAUCUCCAAAACUAUGGGAAAGGUCUAAACUUGUGCACUGCGUUGAGCUCCUACUUUGACAAUCGCUUGUCAUUUGGAUAUAGCAGGUCUGGAGGUCUGAGGAAGGUUUCAGGCAGCUCUCAGUGGUAAAUACAGACAUUUUCCUUGGUCUUUGCUUCUGGCAGCAGAGGGAUGGCAGGGGCAGGGUACUCCUGGCUGCUUGUGCCUCCAUUCCAUCUGUGCCUCCAUCCUGCCCAUGCCCUCAUCCUGCCCAUGUCUCCAUACCGCCAAACAUGGUCUUACAGAACAGGCAGCAGCAACAGCAGACCUUGCACCUCCUCUACACCUAUUUUCCACCCAGCAAUAUCUUUUGGAAGGUUUUUCACAGUGACAUUGUCCCUGUGAAUGUUGGUGUCAGCCCAGUAGCAGGCACGCAGUUCCACUUACCAGGACAGUGCCUGCAGCCAGACUUCUGCCAAGGAGAGGGAUGGGGAGGGUGGUGUCACCGAUGUCCCUGUGCUGGCUGCUGGGUAACAAGUAUCUGCUCUGUUCACCUGACAGUGCUCCAGAAUACAAUGCACCUUCCCUCAGCUGCAGCUGGCAGCCCUUCAUUUCUCAGGCUUAAAAAUAGUCACAGGCAUUAUAAACAGCCCUGCAUGGAACACAACAGAAAACUUGUUUUUCAUCCUCUCCAUGUUCCUUGUGGGAACAAAUGCUCUUAUCUCCCUUCUGUGCUUGGUUGACUUCUCUGUGCAGGACAGAGACGUGGAAUAUACAGCACAUCCAGCACCAUGCCUUGUAUAGAGGAAAUUAUCUGUUUGUUUAUUUCUGCUUCUAUGAUGUUCCAAGUUCUUCAGCGGAACCAGGAUGAAGCAGCAGCCACUGGGGAAUCAUUUGGAGACUGGUGCCCACCAGCCUCUGAGCUUUCAAAAAAAAUCUGCUCACAGACUUUGGCUCUUUCUCAAGAGCGCCUUCCAAAUCCAAGGGCUGUAUGGCAUACUCACAUUAAUGAACACUUGCACGUUAACAGUUAUGAAGUUUUUACCUUCUGCUAAAAAGGUAUGAAUUAUGCAUCAGGGAAAUACAUGAGUUAGCGGUGUGUAAAGA